GUGAGCAGAGAAAUGGACAAAGGGGUCCUGGAUCGUCUCCCAGAUUUUCAUGGGUUCAGAGGAGAAAUGAAAAAGAGGGAAACUACCAACUAAAAUCAUAAAAGAUGAAAGUGUGUUUAUUGUCAUACUUGGCUUUUUUACACUAGUGCCCUAAGCAUCUGUUUUUUGAACACUUUCAAACACUGUUUCCCCCUUUUACUCUUCCGCAUCUAAGAGAAUGAGAUGUGAUUGACUUUAUUUAGUGACAAGUGUCUGUGGAAUGUCUUCCAAAGAAGUCUUAUUAUGUUGAAUCUGUAUCAAUCUUAUGCAGCGUUUCUCACUUGUAAGAACAAGUUGGUGACUGGAGGCAGCUUUCUUCAGGGGAGUCUCUUCUCUCCAAUGGGCACAGUAACUUCUCUCUUUCAUUUUAUUGUCCUCUCCAUGAAAGGAACAUUUUGGCAGAAUCAGAGUGAAAGAUACUUUUGCUUGUAAAACCAUAAUAGCAGUAAUAACCCAUCUCUCCUGAAUAUCCUCCAUGUACAGAGAUCCUUCCAGUCCACAGGAGCACAGGAAUGAGUUUACAGGGUUUGUGAUAAGAUAGCAUAAGGGAAUCAGUUACAGUGAAAGUGAUGUAAUUUAUUUAUGGAGUAUGUUGUAGAGAAACUAAAAUGCUGGCAAAACAUGUGGCGCAUUACAGAAAAAAUUGUUGUGCAAGUCAGAGGUCUUACUACAGGAAAAUGGCAGGAUGAAAAUGGGAGGCAAAUGCUCAGGAUAACUGAUUUCCAGUGGUGCUUAUAAUGGAUGAGGAUUUAAUUUCCCAAAUCUCUCAUCGAAUGAUACAUUUUUGGGAUAGGUUAUUAUUUUUGUUGUUGUUGUUAAUUUCAAUUACAAAAUAGUGCUGGAAAAAUGUCAAUUUUGUGAAUAUCUGCUUAUAGAGAAGAGCUGAGGUAAUUCCUACAGGAAAAGACAAAAGUUGCAGGGAACACGUUUUGUUUUCCUGAUUAACAAAGAGACACCCUAUCACAAUAAUGUGAGAGAGAAAGUCGAGGCAUUCUAUUUCACGCACAUUAGUGGGUCUAUGCUGUUACAUGUCUCCAUGAAUACGAAUUAUGAAGGAUGUUUGAAACACAAUCUUUGGACAGCUUCUCUUGGAAAUGAUUUUAACACCUUCAGAUAAUACAAGUCCCUUGAGCUCCAGGAGAUCAAUGAAUUCUUGUAGGUGGAGACUGCUGGUGAUGCACAGCGGGAGCUGUUUCCCAGCUGUAUCACUGAUUAGCAGGAAUCUCACCUUGCCAAGCCUUUAAAGCCUUGCAGAAAGUGCACCAAUUAAGUGUUCAAAUCCUUCAGCCUUAAGCCAUAUGUCAAGGGAAAAUAAUUCACUGGCACAGGGCUUUGGGUCAAGCUUCUUAGCCCAGCAGUUGAUGCGAUAAUGCUUUUGCAUUGUGCUGCUUGCCCACCCAGGAGGAAGGAGAGGGAGACCUGGCUAUUGUUUCCCUCUAACGCAGAGCACUGAGGAAUACAAAUCUUUCUGGCUGUCUGAACACAGUACUGCUUCCUUCUACACAUCAAGCUGUGCUGCAUAACUCGCAUCACUCACCUGCAUAGCACUGGAACCAUUAGUAAUUUCACAAUGAUAAAAAUAGUCAUCAUCUCAAAACUCCUUCCAGCAGAAGGCCUCAAGUGCUCAACUACUGCAGGACCUGGAACCACAGUGCCUCAG
ensembl:lncRNA